rnacentral:rRNA from 1 species
CCCCUAGUAACGGCGAGUGAAGCGGGAAGAGCUCAAAUUUGAAAUCUGGUAGCCUUCGGUUGCCCGAGUUGUAAUCUAGAGAAAUGUUUUCCGUGCCGGCCCAUGUACAAGUCCCUUGGAACAGGGCGUCAUAGAGGGUGAGAAUCCCGUCCUUGACAUGGACCCCCGGUGCUUUGUGAUACAUUUUCAACGAGUCGAGUUGUUUGGGAAUGCAGCUCAAAAUGGGUGGUGAAUUCCAUCUAAAGCUAAAUAUUGGCGAGAGACCGAUAGCGAACAAGUACCGUGAGGGAAAGAUGAAAAGCACUUUGGAAAGAGAGUUAAACAGUACGUGAAAUUGUUGAAAGGGAAACGAUUGAAGUCAGUCAUGCUCUUUGGUAUUUAUAUCAUUGAGUGGGGUCAACAUCAGUUUUGAUCGAUGGAUAAAGGCACUAGGAAUGUAGCACUCUCGGGUGAACUUAUAGCCUAGCGUCAUAUACAUUGAUUGGGACUGAGGAACGCAGCAUGCCUUUAUGGCCGGGAUUCGUCCACGUACAUGCUUAGGAUGUUGACAUAAUGGCUUUAAACGACCCGUCUUGAAACACGGACUACCUG